rnacentral:rRNA from 1 species
CCUACGGGGGGCAGCAGUGAGGAAUAUUGGUCAAUGGGCGCAAGCCUGAACCAGCCAAGUCGCGUGAGGGAUGACGGUCCUAUGGAUUGUAAACCUCUUUUGUCGGGGAGCAAGGCCCGCCACGUGUGGCGGGAAGGAGAGUACCCGAAGAAAAAGCAGCGGCCAACUCCGAGCCAGCAGCCGCGGUAAUACGGAGGAUGCGAGCGUUAUCCGGAGUUAGUGGGUUUGAAGGGUGCGUAGGCGGAAGGUUAAGGCAGCGGUCAACUGUCGGUGCCCAACACCGGCCUGCCGUGGAACCUGGUCUUCUUGAGUGAGCGAGAAGUAUGCGGAAUGCGUGGUGUAGCGGUGAAAUGCAUAG